CAGCCGCCACGGGAAUACGUAGGUGGCAAGCGUUGUCCGGAUUUAUUGGGCGUAAAGCGAGCGCAGGCGGUUUCUUAAGUCUGAUGUGAAAGCCCCCGGCUCAACCGGGGAGGGUCAUUGGAAACUGGGAGACUUGAGUGCAGAAGAGGAGAGUGGAAUUCCAUGUGUAGCGGUGAAAUGCGUAGAUAUAUGGAGGAACACCAGUGGCGAAGGCGGCUCUCUGGUCUGUAACUGACGCUGAGGCUCGAAAGCGUGGGGAGCAAACAGGAUUAGAUACCCCAGUAGUCCCUGUCUCUUAUAC
rnacentral:rRNA from 1 species